rnacentral:rRNA from 1 species
GACGAACGCUGGCGGCGUGCCUAACACAUGCAAGUCGAACGGAAAGGCCCUGCGUUUGUGGGGUGCCCGAGUGCCGAACGGGUGAGUAACACGUGAGUAACCUGCCCUUGACUUUCGUAUAACUUCAGGAAACUGGGGCUAAUAUCGGAUAGGAGCUCCUGCUGCAUGGUGGGCGUUGGAAAGUCUCGGCGGUUGGGGAUGGACUCGCGGCUUAUCAGCUUGUUGGUGGGGUAGUGGCUUACCAAGGCUUUGACGGGUAGCCGGCAUGGGAGGGUGACCGGGCACAAGAGGACUAAGGGACGGCGCAGACUGCAACGGGGGGCAGCAGGGGGGAGUAUUGCACAGUGAGCGGGAGCGUGAGGAGGAGGCGCCGCGUGCGGAAUGACGGCCUUCGGGUUAAGAACCGCUUUCGCCUGAGACGAAGCGGGAGUGACGGUAAUGGGUAAAGAAGCACCGGCUAACUACGUG